UACGAAGGGGGGCUAGCGUUGCUCGGAAUCACUGGGCGUAAAGCGCACGUAGGCGGGCUCUUAAGUCGGUGGUGAAAUCCUGGAGCUCAACUCCAGAACUGCCUCCGAUACUGAGAGUCUUCGAGUCCGGGAGAGGUGAGUGGAACUGCGAGUGUAGAGGUGAAAUUCGUAGAUAUUCGCAAGAACACCAGUGGCGAAGGCGGCUCACUGGCCCGGUACUGACGCUGAGGUGCGAAAGCGUGGGGAGCAAACAGG
rnacentral:rRNA from 1 species